UUUAGGGGUGCGAUGAAUUAGGGUCUCCAGGGAUCC
rnacentral:snoRNA from 2 species